rnacentral:lncRNA from 1 species
GUCCCUGCCUGUGCCCCCUGGCUGACUCCCUCACACAUCAUCACUGCUUUAGUAGGUGGUAGGUGUUGGUGGUGUCCUUCACUGUCUGUCUUUUCUACCAGGAUGGUAUAUCUUCCCCACCUGCUGGGAGUGUCAGUUCCCAACAGCUCACUGCUAUGGUUCUCUGGAGAACUGUCCCUCAGCCAAUGGAAAUACAUUCCCCUGAAGAGGGGCAGGUGCGAGGUAGAAGAAACCCAGAAGAGCUUCGUGGACUGUGAUGAUGUGGUGGUAUCUUGGAAGAAGAGCUUAAUGCUUCAACUUCAGCAGCCACUGUCAUCUUUCUGGCUAAGACAUCGCAAACUUUGUCAUUGUUUCCUUGAUUAAUUUUUUGGUAACACAAUGGACAGAUUUUUAACCACAGAAUAAAUCCUUAUAAUAAAUUUGACUUGCA